rnacentral:rRNA from 1 species
AUUGAACGCUGGCGGCAUGCCUUACACAUGCAAGUCGAACGGUAACAGGUUAAGCUGACGAGUGGCGAACGGGUGAGUAAUAUAUCGGAACGUGCCCAGUCGUGGGGGAUAACGUAGCGAAAGCUACGCUAAUACCGCAUACGAUCUACGGAUGAAAGCGGGGGAUCGCAAGACCUCGCGCGAUUGGAGCGGCCGAUAUCAGAUUAGGUUGUUGGUGAGGUAAAAGCUCACCAAGCCUGCGAUCUGUAGCUGGUCUGAGAGGACGACCAGCCACACUGGAACUGAGACACGGUCCAGACUCCUACGGGAGGCAGCAGUGGGGAAUUUUGGACAAUGGACGCAAGUCUGAUCCAGCAAUGCCGCGUGCAGGACGAAGGCCUUCGGGUUGUAAACUGCUUUUGUACGGAACGAAACGGUGAGCUCUAAUUCAGUUUGCUAAUGACGGUACCAUAUGAAUAAGCACCGGCUAACUCCGUGCCAGCCGCCGCGGUAACAC